rnacentral:lncRNA from 1 species
AUACAUUCAUAUAUAGUUCAUUAGUGAAAUCUCUACAAAGACUUAUAUUUAGAAACGGUGGGAGUAGAUGACUUGACAUAUAUAGCUAAGCUAACGUGCUAAUGGAAAUGCCACGACGUACUCCCUUUGUUUUUAAAUAUAAUUUUUUUAAGAUUUCAAUAAAAAACUACAUAUAAGAGAAAUAAAUGAGUCUGUAUUUUAAAAUAUAUCUAUAUACAUUCAUAUUCAGUCUUUCUAAUAAAACUUUCUAAAAGAUUUAUAUUAAAAAACGGAUGAAGUAGUAGCCACUUACUUAUUUUGCUGUAAAUUUUGCAUAUUCGUUGUGAAGCAGUGCUAUGUCUAUGUCAAACAGUACAUUCUCUAUCACGGUGACCCAGAUCGAGGCGGACCAAAUCCAGCCACAUNNN